rnacentral:rRNA from 1 species
GAUGAACGCUGGCGGCGUGCCUAAUACAUGCAAGUCGAGCGAACAGACGAGGAGCUUGCUCCUCUGACGUUAGCGGCGGACGGGUGAGUAACACGUGGAUAACCUACCUAUAAGACUUGGAUAACUUCGGGAAACCGGAGCUAAUACCGGAUAAUAUAUUGAACCGCAUGGUUCAAUAGUGAAAGACGGUUUUGCUGUCACUUAUAGAUGGAUCCGCGCCGCAUUAGCUAGUUGGUAAGGUAACGGCUUACCAAGGCAACGAUGCGUAGCCGACCUGAGAGGGUGAUCGGCCACACUGGAACUGAGACACGGUCCAGACUCCUACGGGCGGCAGCAGUAGGGAAUCUUCCGCAAUGGGCGAAAGCCUGACGGAGCAACGCCGCGUGAGUGCUGAAGGUCUUCGGAUCGUAAAACUCUGUUAUUAGGGAAGAACAAAUGUGUAAGUAACUAUGCACGUCUUGACGGUACCUAAUCAGAAAGCCACGGCUAACUACGUG